GCACUCCUUCAAAGACACUGCUUAUCUAAU
rnacentral:piRNA from 1 species